ACAACCAGAGAACAUGGAGAAUGUUGAAUAGUCUGGCUCAUGAACAGGGCAAGUUAAACAUCGUAUCAUCACACCAGUAUAUGUUACAGAAAUAUAUUAUGUCCACAGAUACAUUUAUACAGGUUUAUUUCAGUUGUUAAGGGCAGUGACCUAUUCAUCAAAUGAUAACAACUAAUAAAAAGCACAGUUUUAAAGCAUAACAAGGUACAAAAGAAGAGCACAACAAAAUGAAAUCAAUGUAGCUAGGCUAUAAGUUGAAGUUUACUGUGCUUUAUUCAAAAAUUACACGAAGUGAAUGCCUGCAUGCAUUUGGUCAGACUGCACAAAACACUAGUCAAAACAUUACAAAACAUCUCGUACCACCGGAUUUUUAGACACAGAUGGGAGGAGGCUAAUUACAGCCCUAAAGCGCAACAUGAGAAAAAUAAGAGGUGGGGGAAAAAUAUAAAGUGUAUUAGAUGCUUCCUGAGUCCUGCGAUUUUUUUCUCUCUCACUUUCCUCUGAAGAUUUAUCAUGAACUCUCCAGACUACGAUGACAGCACCGCGUUCCUGGGAGACUGGGGACCUUUCCAAAGGACGGUGUUCACUCUUUUGUGUUUGAGCAUUAUUCCCAAUGGCUUCACGGGGUUAUCUAUGGUGUUCAUGGGCGAUACACCCGCUCAUCACUGUCUCAUUCCCGCGGCUCUGAACAUCACUGAUGAAUGGAGAAACGCGUCUAUUCCUCUGGAUGAGGACGAGGAUUCUCGACUCACUAAAUGCUCAAGACACCGAGUGGACAUCGUGAAGAACUAUUCGGACAGAGGUUUGCUCCCGUGGGUGGAUGUGAAUGUCUCGUCUAUUCCUCGAGAAGCCUGUAUGGACGGCUGGGACUAUGAUAAAGGAACGUACAUCUCCACGAUUGUUACAGAGUGGGAUUUGGUGUGUUCAGAUGACUGGAGAGUUCCAUUGACCACCUCACUCUUCUUCUGUGGUGUUUUGACUGGCUCUAUGAUCUCUGGACCAAUUUCUGACAGGUUUGGCAGGAAAAUAGUGCUGUUUAUUACCAUGAUGAUUCAGACAGUAUUCACCUUAAUUCAAUGCUUCUCCCCAUCUUGGUUGAUUUUUUGCUUAUUGUUUUUCAUUGCUGGAAUGGGCCAGAUUUCAAACUAUUUGGCAGCAUUUGCUUUAGGAAUGGAAAUCUUGAGCCCAUCCAUUCGUAACCUCUACUCCACUCUUGGCGUAUGUCUUUUCUUUUCAAUUGGGUAUAUGAUGCUUCCGCUGACUGCCUACUUUCUGCGAGACUGGAGAACACUGCUGCUGGUCCUCACCAUUCCUGGAUUCUUCUGCAUAGCCCUUUGGUGGUUUAUUCCAGAGUCUCCGCGAUGGCUGUUGUCUCAGGGGAGGGUUGACGAGGCAGAGGCAAUUCUGAGAAAGGCUGCCAAAAUGAACGGGGUUAAAGCCCCUGAUGUCAUUUUUCCCCUGCAUCAGUCAAGGGAAAACGCUGGAAGGCUGCAGACCUACAGUCUCUGUGACCUGGUGAAGUCCAGCAACAUCUGCUGCAUUACUGUCCUGCUGUGCCUGGUCUGGUUUGCUGUUUCAAUUGGAUACAAUGCUUUGUCUCUGAACACGUCCAGUCUGCAUGGGAACAUCUACCUGAACUGCUUCCUGUCAGCAGUAGUGGAAGUGCCUGCGCUCAUCAUGGCCUGGCUGAUGCUCCGCUGCUGGCCACGCCGCCUCUGUUUGACCUCCACCCUGUCAUUAGGAGGACUGGUUCUUCUCUUCAUACACCUCAUACCAGAACAUCUGAGUUCUGUUACCACUACUCUAGUGAUGCUGGGAAAGUUCAGUCUGUCGGCAGCGUUUGCGAUCGUGUACCCAGCGACUGCAGAGCUGUACCCCACCAUUGUGAGGAGCACGUCUUUAGGAAUCUGCUCCAUGGCAUCCAGAGUCGGCGGCCUUUCUGCACCAUACGUCAUCUACUUAGGUUCCUACUGAAUUUGCUGCACAAACUGCCAUAGACUUCUCCUAAAGUUUGCAGUUUUUGAAAUACAUUUACUUGCGGUCCUGUCAGAACUGCCAGAAAACACAGGAAAGCUUCAUCAGCUGCUCAUGUUACAGCCGAGUCCAGCACCCUGAUAGCCCUUACAAAAAAUAAGUAUACUUCAAGUUCAUUUUAUUAAGUAUACUUAAGUAAAGUUCUAAGUAUACUUUUAAGUAUACUUUCCCCCUGGUUUCACAGACAAGGAUUAAGCUAGUCCUAGACUAAAAUGCAUGUUUGAGCUGCUUUAACUGAAAGCAACUUGCACUGACAUAUCUUAAAAUGACAGUGCAUUGUUUUAUCUCAAGAUGCACACCAGUAAUGUUUUUUUCUAGUUUAUAAAAGCUACCUAAAUGCCCUAAUUGAACAAAGACCUAAUUCUGGCUUAGGCUAAACCCUGUCUGUAAAACCAGGCCUUUAUGUAGUAAGUAUACUAAUAUCAGUGUAGUAGUAGUAUACUUGCAAGUGAACUGUUUCAAUACUACUUGGGACUAAACUGGUCCACUUUUUAGUGUAUAAAACUAUACUUUUAAGUAUACUUUAAGUAAAUGUUGAGUACACAACUAGUUUACAACUAAGUUUUUCAUUUGUACUGCAUCUGUACUACAAGUGAACUAUAUAGGUAUCCUGAUAGUUUACUAGUCAAAUACUUCUAGAACAUUUUUUUAGUUUAUGAAAGUACACUUAUGAAAGUGUACUCUCAGUAAACUACUAGUUUAGUAGUUUUAUACUGCAAGUAUACUUGUAAGUUUUCUUUAGGUGAACAUAACAUUCCUAUAGUUAACUAUUUAUAUAUUAUUUUAUCUUUAAGGAUGCUACUAUGUUCCUAUUUAGGUAUUAAUUUUUAUACUUGAAAUGUACUAUAUGUUUAUGGUCUAAAUAGAUUGCUCCACAAAACAUGCAACAUGAGAGGGCUGAACUUUAUUGACAACUUCAGUCUUUUCUGGAUUAAAAGACAACUGUUCACAUCAGACGGCCUCCACCCAAACAAACAUGACCACAGGACUUCACUUCAGCACCUGAAUGUGAAUGACACCCUACAAGGACAAUGAUAACACCAAGCAGCCACAACAAGCACUGCUCACGGACACAAUCUCAGCUGAGCCUGCCCAAAAAUUUUCCCUACAGAGAGAUUGUGAUGAACUACAACUGCUCCAAGUUUCGACACCCAAGGAUACCCUCUUGGGAAAAGUGAGGGAAGCCAGGAUAACAUAUUUCAGCUCCAAUUACACCAGAGACACAGCCCCUCUCACCACACACAUUAUCCCUCUUUCCUGCAUCCUCGCUUCUGAGCUUCUCAGAGAGAAUGGAAGAACUGGUGAAUGCCGGAACCAAACUAUCUAUCGCUGCGAGCCCCUAGAUAUCAACCAAAAAGUGGCAAGCCCCACAACCACCAAAGCCUGUGGGCCCAGCUCGCCCUCCCCCUCCUCCUGUGAGAGCUCUUCGGCCUCUGCCUCAACACCAGGGCCCGCACACUCCUCCAUCUGCUCUAGAUUUCCAAACACACGGGUCUAAACGCAGUCGAAGUGCUCGUCGAGGUCGCCAGCUUUCUAAGCUAAAAGGAUAUGGAUGCAACAAAGACAGUUUCAGGGUAGUGAAGGCAGAUGGAAGAUGUCUGAAUGGAGGAACGUUGACUUCAGAUCACGAUGAGCAGGGCACAUCUGCUGCCGGCACCUCCGAGAACUUCAGCCAGGACUCCACAAGUAUAACGAUGCCCUCUGGUGUCUCCAGCUUCCUAUUGGAUUGCUUGGAUGUCGAUUCUCCAGCUUCAGAUGAGGACUCGACGCUUUCAUCCAUCGAGGAGUUUCGCAAAGCUGACAAUUAUGAUGGAGGAAGUGCCUUACUUGGAGAUGGAUUGAUGAACGGUGUGAAAAAUUCCACUCUUCUUGAUCUCAGUCAUGCGCAGGAUAUCGCUCUGCAGCCGCUUCCAAACCUCUCCUCCAUUCUCGAACUGUCAUCAGACCCUGCUGAAGAGAAAGAGAAAGAAUUUUCUUUGUCACCUAUUAGGCUCUCUCCUGUACGUGUGUCCUCUGAACGCUUGGCCUCAGAUGUUGCGUCAGGUACGUGUUUCACUCCGUGUGUCAGUUACAGUAGAUGACAUGACUGAGUUAAUAAAGAUCUGUUUCCUUGAGGAGGAGUGUUGAGAUCAGUGGAGGAGAGAACACCUGUGAGCACCAGACCUGUACUUCUGUCCCCUGUUGGGAAAAAGUGUUUUGCAGAGAAGAGAAAACUAAUAAAAUGCAGAAAAGUGACGUUCAGUGAUAUUGUGAGGGUUCGAAACGUGUCAAGCCAUAAACAUGAUAAGACAGAGCAGCAGGACGAGCGGGUUCAGCCGAAAUCAGAGGAAUCCUCAGAUAUUCCCUCAGGGCCUGUGAGGUUCUUUGACUUUGCAGAUGAGUUUGAUAGAGAAGCCUUUUUCCACAGACUGAAACAAACACGCUCGUUUACGUUUCCUGCCAAACCGAUCCUCUCCACCAUCUGAGAGGACUUCAGCACAAGUGGAGUUUGAUCGGGAGUUCAGGAGCAAAUCUGACCAGCAGAGGGCAACUCAGACUCGCAGUGAACAGCGUUAGAUUUCUACACAUAUUUUAUCUGAAUAUAAUGCCCAUGCAGUGUUUUUGGCUUUGCUGUGCUCCUGAAGACCUCAAGAGAGAUGAAUAUGUAUUUAUCUGGGUCAGACUGUUCAAGAAAACAUAAAGGGAUGAUUAAUAUACAACUUGUCCUCUUAUGGAACAUACCUAUGUGAAAUGAAGUCGAGUUAUGAAAUCUGUACUUAACUGAUGAUUUUAAUGCAGUACUGAAAAUGAGAAGCUAAUGAUGCCUUGCAGUGCCAGCUGAAGUGGAAUUUAAUGGGAAGAGAAACUUAUAAAUGAAAUUAUUUAUAUUAGAUGUUUAUGUGUAAAAGAUUAACAAAUACUAAAAGACAAAUAAAGAAUAUUGUGCAA